AAGAUUUUAGGAGGAAAGCAGUCAGUCAUCAUCAUGUGUUGUAGCUUCAAAACACGAGUCCAAUGGCUGUCAUAAUUCACCUUGUUCUUGAGAUCUGAGCUGCAACUUGGCCUAUUGGACCAUAUACUUCUGGUGACAUGAGGACACCAGAAACAUGGAUACAAUGAUCUUCCCUGUGGUUGGAUGUUUCUAUGGUUUCAACAUCAUUCAAUUGUUUGUCAUUCUUGUCUGAAAUUAUAUGGAUAAUAAACCAUUUUAUCAGAGAUUAAACAAUAACUUUCAUCAUUUGAGAGAGAGAGAGAGAGAGAGAGAGAGAGAGAGAGUUAAGGGAAGAACGGAGCUGUAGCUGAAUUGAUGCUUGAGAGGACUUUUGUACAUGAGUUUGCAGGUUACAUGUAGAUGGCCCUCGAACACCAUGCCAAAACGACGAACAAGAGAACGCGAGAAGGAAAAGGAUGUGAGCUGACGCAUCGCGCUGUAAGCGCUCGAAGCCGACAAGGCAACACAAGGACCAUGCGGUUCGAGGCUUCCUUCCCUCGACCCUUCGCCGGCGUGCUCUCCGACCAGUCGGACCCGUCUUCCUCGAAGAUGGUGUCGAGGGUCAGCGCCCGGGCUGCUCGUCUCGCGCUGCUGCUGGUGCGCCGCCACGGCGCCACCGCGGAGAAGGGGACCUUCGGCGACCGAGGAGAGCUCGGGGCCACCUCGAAGAAGAAGGAAGCUAGUUGUACGCUGGCCAUCUUUGCCUGAGCUAUGGAGCUUGAGGUCUAAGGACUCGACCGACUUGUUCUUACACCACGGAGAGGGAAGGAUCUUUAUAGAGAAGAAGAAAGGUAAAUGCACUUGAAUCAUUCCUUUAUUACCAAAACACCUUUCCGACGAAUCAGGAGGAUGAAAGCUGCAGCUAAAAAUGGACAGGGAUUAGAUUAGGAAUAGGAAUUCAUGUUCCUCGUGAGACCACAGCCAAUAUGCUAUGUCAUGUUCUUAUUCUCCUAACACUAUUCUUGGGAGUCAAAAGUAAAAGAUCUCCUUUUGGGGGGGGCAAUAAAGGCUUGGUUUGGAGGGAUUCAUGGAGUUCUCUUCCAGCUUGUGACUAAAAAUGGUGAAAGGUGUGGCUGCCAAAAAUGAGCAGUUCACAAAACCAUUCAUAAGUUGGUCAUUAGGCUUUGGGCUUCUCCUCCUCAUGCUGAGACUAAAGUUUUCUACACCCAAUAGUCUUGGGAUUUUGCUACAACAUGGAUUUCAUCUUAAUUCACAUCUACAACUACAGGAAAUAGAAUCAGACUCAUGGCAUGAUUCUUCAGCAUUCAUUAAUCUAUCAUAGGAUGAAUGCCAAGGACAGUGUUAUGUGCCAACUUGAAA
rnacentral:lncRNA from 1 species